ensembl:lncRNA
CCUGGACACGGCCCGGCUCGUCGGGGCGGCGCCCGCGUCUGGGAGCCUCGGGAACAGUUCAGUUGUCUACAUUAACACUGCUGAUGUCAGCACUAAGGCAUCCUUGCUCUUUGUACCCAAGGGCUGUGAUGUCAGCCCACCGGGACCUCCCCUGAGCCUGGCGUCUUGGGCUUUGCUGGAGCUUAGGCACACAGGCGGCAUCCACGACUGAUCCCAGCUAUUCGGACUCCAGAGCCCCUCCCCAAAUACACCUCUACAGAGAUGUCAGAACGGCUGCGAUACAAAAAGCUGACAAUACGAAUUGCUGGCAAGGAUGCAGAGUAACACACUCCCGUUCGCUGUUGGGGAGGUAAACGGUGCACCCGUUUGACAGACAGCCUGGCAACUUCUUACAAAGGAAAAUGGAGAAAUUGUGGGACAUCCACACAAUGGAACAAUAUUCAAUGACAGAAAAGAAGAAGCCAUGAAGCCCCACAAAAAUGUGGAUGAGUUUAAACACAUAUUGCUAGCUGAAAGAAGUCAGUCUGAAACUCCCACAGUUCAUUUUUAUGAUAUUCUGGAAAGGUCAUCAGAAACAGGCAAACUGAGAAACUGUCACAGCCCAGAGCGGUCUAGAGGGAGUGAAGCUGAAUGUACUAUGGUGGCCUGGAUGGAAGUCUGGAACAGAAAAACGGCAUUAGCAAAUUGCCUCAGGACCAGUUAGUUGUGCAGCAAAGAUGCUUGCAGAAAAACACCUAGAACCACUAAUAGAGAUUUCAGUACGCCAAGCCCUUCACCUGCACAAAUGCAGGUGACCCGCCAACUCCUGGUGACUCAACUGCCCCAUCUCUGAGGAAUUCGGACAUCCUGUGGUCCGGCCAGUUCAAGCCCAGGUGGGAACCUGCUGG